UUUGAUGGCUCAGUUGGUAGAGCGUGAGUCUCAUAAUCUCAAGGUCGCAAGUUUGAGCCUGUCCGAA
rnacentral:tRNA from 1 species